GACGAACGCUGGCGGUGUGCUUAACACAUGCAAGUCGAACGGUAAGGCCCUUUCGGGGGUACACGAGUGGCGAACGGGUGAGUAACACGUGAGUAACCUGCCCUCAUCUCUGGGAUAACAGUCGGAAACGGUUGCUAAUACUGGAUAUGAGCUUGCAAGGCAUCUUGUGGGUUGGAAAGAUUUUUUUUGGUUGGGGAUGGACUCGCGGCCUAUCAGCUUGUUGGUGAGGUAGUGGCUCACCAAGGCUUCGACGGGUAGCCGGCCUGAGAGGGCGACCGGCCACAUUGGGACUGAGAUACGGCCCAAACUCCUACGGGAGGCAGCAAUAGGGAAUAUUGCACAAUGGACGGAAGUCUGAUGCAGCAACGCCGCGUGCGGGAUGACGGCCUUCGGGUUGUAAACCGCUGUCAAUUGUGACGAAGCUUUUUUGUGACGGUAGCAGUAGAAGAAGCACCGGCUAACUACGUG
rnacentral:rRNA from 1 species